GAACAACACCCAUUCCCCACAAUCACACGGAAAGUGGAUAUGGGGUUUUACCCAAAGUGUUCAAUAAAUGAACAGGGGGUAGGGGAGUAAUGUUCCCUACUAGAAUCGUGAGGGAAGCCUGGUGCCAGCCGCCGGGGAUAAAACCAGCUCUUCAAGUGGGCGGGAUAAUUUCUGCUUAAGGGCCCGUAGCCGGUUAUAUUUCCUGGGAAAUCGGGUGCUUACUACCAUAUGAAGGAAUACUGUAUCCUAGAGGGGGGGAAGGCUAGGUAUUACAGGUGGGGGGUGAAACUUAUAAUCCUUGUGGGCCCCCUUGGGUAAGGGGGCAAAUGGGACCCGCCUAAAAAUAAGAACAAAACCCGGGGAGGAACGGGAUAAAAACCCGGGGUAGCCUGGUUGAAAGAGGGGUACUAGGUGAUGGCACGCAAUAGCGUUGCAAUGCCGAGGGAACCCUUUAAGGGCCCCCCGGAAAGUAGGGGGAAGGGUAAAUCUUAAAAGAAUUGGGGGGGGAAGGGGCGAACUCGUUAACCGCGGACUGGCCCUUAGGGGGGUAAUUCUUAGUUGGGGAAUCUGGUUAAUUGUUUUCGAAA
rnacentral:rRNA from 1 species